CCUACGGGGGGCAGCAGUGGGGAAUAUUGGACAAUGGGGGGAACCCCGAUCCAGCCAUGCCGCGUGUGUGAAGAAGGCCCUCGGGUUGUAAAGCACUUUCAGUGAGGAAGAACGCCUGGUGGUUAAUACCCAUCAGGAAAGACAUCACUCACAGAAGAAGCACCGGCUAACUCCGUGCCAGCAGCCGCGGUAAUACGGAGGGUGCGAGCGUUAAUCGGAAUUACUGGGCGUAAAGCGCGCGUAGGUGGCUUGAUAAGCCGGUUGUGAAAGCCCCGGGCUCAACCUGGGAACGGCAUCCGGAACUGUCAAGCUAGAGUGCAGGAGAGGAAGGUAGAAUUCCCGGUGUAGCGGUGAAAUGCGUAGAGAUCGGGAGGAAUACCAGUGGCGAAGGCGGCCUUCUGGACUGACACUGACACUGAGGUGCGAAAGCGUGGGUAGCAAACAGGAUUAGAUACCCCAGUAGUC
rnacentral:rRNA from 1 species